AUUGAACGCUGGCGGCAUGCUUUACACAUGCAAGUCGAACGGUAACAGGCCUUCGGGCGCUGACGAGUGUCGAACGGGUGAGUAAUGCAUCGGAACGCGCCCAGUCGUGGGGGAUAACUAUCCGAAAGGAUAGCUAAUACCGCAUACGAUCUGCGGAUGAAAGCGGGGGACCUUCGGGCCUCGCGCGAUUGGAGCGGCCGAUGUCAGAUUAGGUAGUUGGUGGGGUCAAGGCUCACCAAGCAAACGAUCUGUAGCUGGUCUGAGAGGACGACCAGCCACACUGGGACUGAGACACGGCCCAGACUCCUACGGGAGGCAGCAGUGGGGAAUUUUGGACAAUGGGCGCAAGCCUGAUCCAGCAAUGCCGCGUGCAGGAUGAAGGCUUUCGGGUUGUAAACUGCUUUUGUACGGAACGAAAAGCCCCGGGUUAAUACCCUGGGGUCAUGACGGUACCGUAAGAAUAAGCACCGGCUAACUACGUGCCAGCCGCCGCCGUAA
rnacentral:rRNA from 1 species